rnacentral:rRNA from 1 species
GACGAACGCUGGCGGCGUGCUUAACACAUGCAAGUCGAACGGAAAGGCCCCAGCUUGCUGGGGUACUCGAGUGGCGAACGGGUGAGUAACACGUGGGUGAUCUGCCCUGCACUUUGGGAUAAGCUUGGGAAACUGGGUCUAAUACCGAAUAUGACCACUUCUUGGAUGGUGUGGUGGAAAGCUUUUGCGGUGUGGGAUGAGCCUGCGGCCUAUCAGCUUGUUGGUGGGGUAAUGGCCUACCAAGGCGGCGGCGGGUAUCCGGCCUGAGAGGGUGUACGGACACAUUGGGACUGAGAUACGGCCCAGACUCCUACGGGAGGCAGCAGUGGGGAAUAUUGCACAAUGGGCGCAAGCCUGAUGCAGCGACGCCGCGUGGGGGAUGAAGGCCUUCGGGUUGUAAACUCCUUUCGCUAUCGACGAAGCCACUUGUGGUGGCGGUAGGUAGAUAAGAAGCACCGGCUAACUACGUGCCAGCAGCCGCAGUAA